rnacentral:rRNA from 1 species
GAUGAACGCUGGCGGCGUGCUUAACACAUGCAAGUCGAACGAUGAAGCCCAGCUUGCUGGGUAGAUUAGUGGCGAACGGGUGAGUAACACGUGAGCAACCUGCCCCUGACUCUGGGAUAAGCGCUGGAAACGGCGUCUAAUACUGGAUAUGUCCCGUCACCGCAUGGUGUGCGGGUGGAAAGAUUUUUCGGUUGGGGAUGGGCUCGCGGCCUAUCAGCUUGUUGGUGAGGUAAUGGCUCACCAAGGCGUCGACGGGUAGCCGGCCUGAGAGGGUGACCGGCCACACUGGGACUGAGACACGGCCCAGACUCCUACGGGAGGCAGCAGUGGGGAAUAUUGCACAAUGGGCGGAAGCCUGAUGCAGCAACGCCGCGUGAGGGAUGACGGCCUUCGGGUUGUAAACCUCUUUUAGCAGGGAAGAAGCGAAAGUGACGGUACCUGCAGAAAAAGCGCCGGCUAACUACGUGCCAGCAGCCGCCGUAAGAC